rnacentral:lncRNA from 1 species
AGACAAAACCAAAAAAACCAAAGGAGGAAGUAUUACUGACUGACAGCAACAGUGACUCCCUCUGAAAAGUACGGCGGAAGCAAACAAAGUGGGCCUGAAAAAAAUGUAGGAGAGGGAGUUCCACGUGGUCCCAGCUCCACCAAAGGCUGAGGCUGGUGAGGGCCACCCGCGCGUGAACGGGGAUAGGUGCCCUCACAUGGGUGCGCUGCACCAUCCAGUGGGACCGCCACUGGCCGCCUGCUGGUCAAUCUGGGACACAGGAAGCCGCCGGCUAAGUCCGGAGCUCGCUGGCAGCAGCUGAUCGACCCUGGAGGUUCCGACUGAGAUGCGGACGCUCCAGAUCCGGCUCAUCCCAACAGGCACC